rnacentral:snRNA from 14 species
AGAAGUCGGCAAUGGCGCUGCCAAAGACCAGGCUGGCAAUGGCGAUGAGCAUCAGGACGAUGUUCAGCUCGGGGCCCGAGGUGUCGUCCU